AAGAAGCUCCUUGGGUCGAACGGGAAGGAAUAGUGCUUUUGUCUCCAGAAGUUCGCCCGAGAGGUAUGUCUAUUCGUUCAUCCCUUGUAGUUGAUGUUGGGGCAGGAGCAGAACGAGGUGAUGCAACCUCACUGGGUAACGGCGUCGUGCUUGCCGUUUCAACAGAUUUUUUCUUCUUUUCCAUCCCUCUCUUUUUUUCAAGACGGGCU
rnacentral:lncRNA from 1 species